AUUUUAAUUAAAUAAAAAAAAAGACUUUGUAGGCUAUACAAAAAAAUUUGCACAUUUUUUCUUAAUAAAUUAAUCAUUAUCCGAAACAAUUAUAAUUUUUUUAUUUAAAUUAACACUAUCAACUAUUAUUAAAUAACUUAGUAAAAUAUAAACCAUAAGCCAACCACAACUAAAUCAGAGUUCAAGUAAAUAACCCUGUAAACACAAAGACUCAAUAGAGCAUCCAAGUAAACCCUCCUGUAAUUGAAUGGCUAUUCAAGGACUUGCUUCACAGAAGUGGAGAUCAGAUUUCAAAAAAUCUUGGAAUCAAAGUAAUUCACCUUGAACUCGACCCAACCCAUCACUGCCUAUAACACUUUCCUUGCCACCAUGUAAGCAAUUGCUCGCACUAGUGACACCUUCCUUGUCAAGAACAAACCAAAUGUCACAGCUAAAUAUUCUGGCUUUGAAGUUGCAAUUUGAUGACCCAUUGGAGGCAACUCAAUUGCAUGGUGGAUGGUAGUGCUUGGGGAUUGAUAUUCAUGGGGUUGGCUCUGUUUACAGAUGAGGCUCGUGAGGUUUUGGCUGUUUGGAGACUGAUCUGGACGAAGAGAGGAGAGAUUAGGGACAAUAAGGUCUGUGAGCAGUUAUAGUGGUGCGCGAGUCUAGACGGAGACUCUGGUGUUUGUCGCGAAGUGAGGCUUGCAAGAUGGGACUGUCGUAGAGGUGAGUUAUUGAGAUGGGUUUGUCGUGGGUCUAUCGCAAGAUGGGUUUAUCGUUUUUUGGAAGUGAGGUCUGAGGAGAGAAUGGUGUGAUGGUACUACGCAGGUGGAGAAAAACCAUGUGUAGCUGAGUGAUGGUAUGAAAGAGUGAGCUGGGUCUAGUGGGUUCUAUGGAUUGGGUUUCUGGAACGGCAACGCGGAAUGAAAAAGAGAGAUGAGAGGGAGAAGUUAG
rnacentral:misc_RNA from 1 species